UCUACCUUUAAGACUGAAUUGAAGUCCCCUAAAAUCAUCCAAAGCGUUGUACAUCCCCUGCUAUAAGACACAAGCUUAUCCCACAAAUCUUUUCUUUCUUCUUUAGUAUUUAGUUCAUACACAUAAGACAAUUCAAAUGUCAUUUAAAGAGAAAUGUAGUAGACCUCACAAAUGAUAAUUUGAUCUGACAUACUCAUAGGGUAACCUUAUAAUAAUCAGGUCACCGAGUAAUUCAAGUUCUACCAUUCUAAUGGUGUACCAGAUUAGUAAUAUACUUCCAUCCCACAAACAUAGUAUUUGCCAGCUUCUCUAUUUUGUUAUUUUUUUAUUUUAGUUUUCAGUGGCCCAACCAAUCUCACUCUUUUUUCAUUGGAAAGGAGCUUAUCUCCUUUGCUUAUUAGGGGCAUUAAGCCCCUUAAUAUUCCAACUCACCAAGUUAACCAUCCCCCGGAAGGUGGUUGUUUUAGCCUUCCAUAUUUUUGAUACUUCCUCCCUUGUUUGUUAUACUGGUUUCCCCGCUAUGUAGUGCCCAAAUGAGUUUGAACUUUUAACUUAUUGUUGCUGCUUCUGUUGUACUUUUCCAAUUUUUAAUGGGUUCUGCCAACCUGUGAUCUCCCUUUGACUUUGCUUCCCUUUCUGUUUCCCUAUUGUUAGUUCCUUAUUUCCAUCAGGUCUAAUGUUUCUAUCAUCCUUUCUUAGUUAAUUAGUUUUUUUUGGACUUGGUCCUUACCUUUAUCUCCCUUUAGGUCAAAUUGUGCAACAUUGGCUUUCACCUUAUGACAAGAGGGAAUGUUCUGAUGGUAAGCAAUUCACACUUCCAACCAAGAGGUUGUGAGUUCGAACUCCCCAAGAGCAAGGUGAGAAGUUCUUGGAGGGAAGGAUGACUGGGGUCUAUUUGGAAACAGCCUCUCUACCCAAGGGUAGGGGUAAGGUCUUCAUACACCCUACCCUCCCCAGACCCCACUAAGUGGGAUUAUAUUGGAUUGUUGUUGUUGUUGUUAUUGGCUUUCACCUUAUGUUAUUCUGGAUCAUCCAUCUCUGAUUCUUCAUGCUUCUAUAAAUCUCUUCUCCAUGGCCAUAUUUAGAGCAGUAAGUACAAAGAGUUGUUUCCAAUUGUAAUUCACUUUUUGCUUAAUUAUCUUGCAUUAUUCAUUUUUGAAAAGCACAAUAUCUGGUAAUUGUGCAUUCAUUUCUACCUUAACUAGUAGUCAUGCAAAAUUUAAUCCAUUCCUCUUCUCUAUUUUGUAAUCCACCAUGAUAGGUUUCCCCUCUAAGCCACCAAACUUAUUCAAGCCUUUUUUGUUCCAAUACUUGAAAUCAAGUCCAGGAAACUUGAUCCAAAUCAGAACUAUAAGAAAUUCAUCUCUGGUAAAUUCUAACUCAUGGAUCUAUGCCUUAAUGAUGAAAAGCUUAUUGUCAAAGUCACAUAUGCCACCUUGAAUCACUUUAAGCAUCCCUGCCUCUAUUUCAAAGCGUACCACAAUUAUUCCAUUUUUAGCAUUGAUAUCCCGUCAAUUUCAUAUUCCCCUAUUAUCGUUUAAUAUAACCUUGAAUUUCUGUAAAUGUGGGAUGUGCCCGUAACACAUAACAAGCAACAACUUCCCCAAUAGCCAAUUUCAGAACUAAGAUCGUCCAAUUUAAUUUCAACUGUCGAAGACUCACUGUGUGUUUUAGGAGCUACAUACUCCAAUUUUGUAUCCAACAUUUGAGAUUUUUCCUAUGUAAAAAUUAGGGGUGUUCAAAUCGACUCAGAACAACAAUUUUCCCCCAAUAGCAAAAUUAGAAAGUCAAACCAAACCGAUUAAAGAACUCGAUUAGAUUUGAUUUUGUUUUGUUUGAUAUUUAGUAAAUUAACUCAAACCAAACCGACAUAUAAAUAUAUAAUUUUUAUAUAUAAUUUUAAGACUUUAUAUAGAAUUUUAAAAAAAAAAUUAUCUAGGAAUAUUUAAAAUUCUCUUAUGAGAUGUAAUAUUUAAUAGAAUAUAAAGUGUUCCAUUUUUAUUUACUUUAAAAAAUGGGUUGUAUCAUCACUUUGUUAUCAAGUGUUAUUAAAAUACAUAUCUCUUUGUUCUUUCAUAUUCAUAUGUCAAGAUCUAUUAAAUUUUCAUAUCAUUUUCAAAUUCGUAUGGUAUUUCGAUACUCUAAAUAAUUAUUUUAGUAUCAUAUUGAUUUUUAUGGUUAAUUAUUAAAUUUCGUUAAACUUGAAAGCAUACAUCAACAAAACAUUAUUGUUAAUCGACUAGAAACUAACUAUUAUGUAUUACUAAGACAAUCCUCUCAUAAGGAUAUCUAAAUAGAUCAUAUGUUUGCCUAUUUUUUAAACAUUUAUCUAAUGUAUAUAUUUACUCAUUAAAUUUUAAUAAAGUAAGAUUGAAAUAUAUUCGUGUAAAAAAAUUUUGAAAACCCAAAAAUCUCGAUAAAAUCAAUCCAAUCCAAAUCGAUAUAAUUGGUUUGGUUUGAUUUUGAUAAAACCGAACCAACCCGAUCCAUGUACACCCCUAUUAAAUCAUCGCAUGUUGAGCUCUACUUCUUUUGCGACUCUAGCUCCUCUUCAACCUCAUAUGCCCAUGAUUUUUUGCCACUACUCGUGAAUUCUGCUUGAUCCUUACUCAGUGAAGCUUGAAAUACCUCAAACCAUACUCGCUUUACUUUAAUCUGCUAAGAAUUCUUUGUUUUACAACUUAUGGUUAUCUGUUUCAUUGGAAUUAGGGCUUGCCUGUGCUUUCCUUACUACUUCAUCAUUGUCAAUGCUUGAUUUCUGCACUCGCCGAGCAAUUUCAGACAAUGUGGAAGCUUCCUUGGCCAUUAGGGCAUUCUGGGAUGAGAUGCGAGCUCUUGUGUCCAUGGCUAGCGAAUGUUAAGCUAAUAUGCACUGAGAUAGAGAAAACAAGCCAUGGAUAAAAUUUGCUUACUGUUUAAGUAAUUCUAUAACUUGUGAUAAAG
rnacentral:lncRNA from 1 species